AACAGAUGCCUGUCUCAAAUGGAGGAACUGCUGCCUACAGAGCAAGACCCUAAACCACUGCUGCAACACAAUGAUUCUGCGAAGCACUUCCUGAUGAAGCAGAUCUUAAGUAUGUAACCUGGAAAGAAUAUUUGGAGCUAUAUCCUGAUUGGCGAAUUCGAACUGUUUCCAGCAUCCCAGUGUACCGAAGCUGUCUUAGUACCAAGGCAUCAUUGAAUCUUAAGGGCAGCUAAAACAAAGAAAGAAAAAGCUUCCCUGAAGGCAACCACAGCUCUGAAAAAAGCUCGGAGAACUGCCCAUCGGAAAACAGCUACAGGAUCAAUUCCAGUCAUCCCAGAGACAAAGGCGUUCCUGCUACUUCUCAAAAGAGCCACAAUGUCUGGACGCAUGUGAUCUGUAUUUUUUUCCCGAAAAUCCUAUGUGAAAAAAGUACCAAUGAUAUUUGUGAAAAAGGCUAUUCAAAUCAAGAAGAUAAUAAUAGGUGACAGGUUUGAAUGGUGCAUGAACAGAAAUUAUGAAAUUGAAUUCUAUUCUGGGUAGCUAUCUGGACAAGAUAUCUUCCAAAAAGU